AAGGGAGUGAGUUGAGAAACCACUGGGUGUGUGUUUCUGGAUGUGUAAUGAAGAAACUGCAGACGUGGUCUGACAAAAACCUGGCGUUUGCUGUUUGAGUAGUGAUGCGUACAUGGGUGCCAUGGAUGGUUCAAACAACUUCAGGGAAACCCGCAAUCCUCAUAAAAUCUGCUUGCUUUUGCCGUAGUUUGAAGGAUCCAAUCAUAGUGGGGCUCAUCUCCCUCCACACUGACAGACAGACAGGGGCCCUGCCAUAAAUUGGUCCUUGGAAUGAGAAUUUGUCUGUUGUUCACUACAAGUAUAAGUAUACGUAAUUACAAUUCAUAAUUGAUAUGAGUUUCAUAGAAAAUACAAAAUACACGAGAAUGCUUGCAAUAUAGUGAACUCUAUACAGGAAAAAUGUCCAUUUAGAUUACAGGUUCAGUUAGGUGGAGUUGGGAGUUUGAUUUGCGAGCAGCGAUGCAAUAGAAGAGAUGCUGAAGAAUGAGAAUUUAAAUGGACCGGUGUGAGUCAAAGCUAGAUUGGUACACAUCAGGAACAGCUGACUACCAGCUGAUGCAAGCUUGGCUGACGUGGUUUGACUACACUCACAACUACAUUCAAAUGGCAAACAAUCAGCUAUUGUUGAAUGUUAACUUGAAUCCCUUUGAACAUGAUUCAGGAUAUUUGUUUCAGUAUGUUUUAGAGACUUUCAUAGUCAGGACAUUUAGCUGAAGUAAUUUGUCUGUAACAUAGGACAAAAAAAUGUGAAUAAACACAUUCAAAGCUCUGAUUAUCUUUACAUUAUUCUUUAGUUCAUCUUUUAUGUUCAACUCCUUUCGUCGCUAUGGCAUGUUCACAAACUAACACCUUAAUUCCUUCCUGCACAGAAUCGACUGAAGUCGAGCAGUUCUGUCCCACAGCCCCCAAAUGUCAACGUAGACUCCUCUGGAACUGAUUCUACGGGAAGGUUUGUCCUUUUGCCAUCUGGCUGACAGGUCUGCAACAAUUUCAAGGAAAGUAAAUGCACAAGACAGCAUUGUCAUAUUUCAUUCAUCUGUAAUUACUGCGGCAGCACUCCUGUCUACACCCUAUGUCCAGUUAUGAAAUCUGUUCAUACAAAUCCUAAUAAUGAUUUGCAGACCCCUGUGGAUAUUUCUAGUUUAUUGAUUGGAAUGAUCUCAACACCCUGAUGUUAAUUUUACUAUCUAUUGUCUAGUCUGAAACAUGGUUUUAAACCUGGGAUAGAAAUCCUGCCCUCCAAAGCAUCAUCUGGGAUCAUCUUCAAUCCGCUCUCGCAGAGCCUGACAUGAUAGACAAUCUGAUUAAAGAAGAAGUUAUAUCAUAGGCGUCAAGAUUGGUCUUUUCAAGAAAUGUUCCAUCUCUUAUACAACCUGCCCUUUCCAGACUUUUCCUUUCUUUCCAUCACUGCACUUAUCUCCAAGCUGUUUCCAGGCUACUUAGGCAGAAUCCGAUCUUUUCGUAAAAUGAUCCAACCCACACCCUACCCUGAAAUAAACAAUUGUCAGCCCUCCCUCCUCAAAUCAGUUAUUAAUCAAUCUGGCAUCGCAGCAGCCCACUUUUCCUGUCACUAUUUUAACAUAGGCAAAACAACCACAGCUGCCGAAAAAGGCCUCUAUUUAGGCCAAUAUAUAGGGUUAGCAGAGGGUCAGAAUAUGAACAGAGCACCCAAACUUUCCACUGUUCUGUGGCCACGGACUUGAGAGUCUUGUCGGUUUCUCCAACAGGUGACUUGCAGGACUCUGUACAUUAUAGUAGCCUACUAGGUUACUUUUAAUCAUUUAACCACCGCAGUGUCUUGUCUCCAUUGGCAAUGCACAUGAUUUGUGUGGAUUGCAAGUGAUGCCACAGGUAGGAAAGGGAAAGAAAAAAGGAAAGGAUGUGACUUGUGGCCAAUUAUGGUGACCCAAACUUUGAAUUUGUGCUCUGCAUUUCACCCAUCCAAGUGCACACAAAUACACACAGCAGUGAGAAUUGAACAAACACAUAAAUACACACUGUGAAAACACACCAUUGGGCAGCCAUUCUUUUUCUCCAGCUCCGGGGAGCAGUUGGGAGUUUGGUGCCUUGCUCAAGGGUCUCAUCUCAAUCAUUGUAUUGAGGGUGGAAGAGAGUGCUUGUCAUUCACUCCCCCCACCUAUGUACUAAGACUCAAACCUGCGACCUUUGGUUACAAGUCUGUCUCUCUAACCAUUAGGUCACGACUGCCCUCUUACCAUUAGGCCACGGCUUUGUAUCCGAGGGUGCAGGGAGAGAUUGCAAGUGACAUUGACAUUUUGAAUCUUUUUAUUCUUGUCUUCACCAACUGGCUACUGUUGUAAAAUGUUGAGAGAUUCAAUUCAAAUAAAUAAAUAAAUAGUGACGUCAAGUCUCUGUUGGUUCUUCCGGUCUAGCGUCCAAGCACCUCCAAGCUAGCUUUGUACUCCACCAUUUUUGAGGGAACUUUUUUCAAAACUGAUUCCUGGCUGCUAUCCCAUGUUUGUUUGCUUCUUUAGGGUAGUGCUCAUCAUUUUCCAGUUUUCCAUCAUCCUUCCACCAUCCCAAACUCUUCACUCUCAACUGUACCUAUCACAGGCCUAGGAUAUGUGGGAGCACGCUGGUCUCGUGCAAAAUUCUGUGAUUAGACCCCUCCCUUCGGGCAGAUCGACCAAGAUCAAUCUCUAAUCUAUCAGAAUGAUUGAUAGCAACACUGUCAAGCACCAAAUCACAUUCAGCAGAGAAAUCAUGAUUGUCAAACCUCUUAUAAAAAAAAGUUCAACUCAUUUGCUUUUGCCAGUUCAUCUGUAACAUGCAGGGACUUGUCCGUUGAUUUCAUGUUAGUUGCUAUUUUCAUUGAGUCCCAUAGUUUUUUUGAGUUCAUGUUUUGAAAGUUUUCCUCUAUCAGCCCCCUGUGAUGUUCCUUUGCCUCUUUAAGCCUGUGGUUUAACUCUUUUUGUACAGUUUUAAGUUGUGGAUGAUCCUUAAUCCUAAAUGCUUGAUGUUUCCUGUUAAUACAGUCUUUCAGUUCCUUUGUGAUAUAGGGUUUGUUGUUGGGAUAGACUUUUCCGUGGUCGCUGCGAGCAUUGAAUCCCCAUACCCUCUGGCAAGCUUACAUUAAAUAAAUCGGGAAAGAUGAACUACAUCUCCACACAAUCGCAGCGACAAAAGCAAUUCCCUCGAAUAGACUCGUUCCCCAUUCCCACUGGUGUUGCAGGUAGAGAAGGGUUCACAUAGUGACAUUGUCAACAACAAAAACAAAAGUUAAAGAAAAACACACGUUGCCAUCUAGUCGUUCUCUCCAUCAGUGCAGUCAUACACAAAACACAGAAAAAGAAAAAAAAACCUCAAGGUUUGAGCAUACAAAACAGAGUUGUUUUAACCUGUUACCAGCACCCUGACGACCUCGUCCUGAAAGGCGCUAAACUCGCACGUGUCAGUGUUUACGAAUAGAUUAAAAGAAACGGGACAAAUUAAAUCAUGACAAACUAUGUAUCAUUAUAAAGAUUUAAGCCUCAAGCAUUGAUGACAGAUCGCUGUUUUUCAAUGGAAAGCUUAUAAAGACUGUAUUUGCUACAUUUGUGUAAGCAGUGCACAUAAAAAACAUGAACAUUAGAAACACAGUACAUACCAGAUUCGUCGUAAUAACGAGUCAUAAACACAUCCACAGCUGUAAAUCCCGGAUUAGUUAGGAAGGUAAGGGUCCACUGAACGACAUCUCAUGAAGCACGUUUAGUCCAACGAAGCAAUAAUGUUGUAAUAUGGAUCAUAACUCCUUUGUUUACGUUUCAGUUCUUCAGUGACAGAACUGUUUGUGUCCGUUAUGGAAUAACUCACGGUCGGAAACUGCGUCUUGGUAGUAAAAAAAUGGCAUGUUUUUGCAGCGUACAGUGUCACAAACAGAAUGAGAAUAGAAUAAAUGAAUAAAUGAAAGAUAGGCGAAAGAUAGUUUAUUUGAAUUUGGCGCUCCCUCGUGAUGCGCUCUGACGCACCUGUCAGCUGAUGGAGGCGGAGCUUAUAGCGUUCGCCUUUUACUUUGUAUGUUUUAUUUUUCAACAGUUUUUAUAUAUGUGAGAGUGUGUUUUAUGUUAAUGUAUCUGCAUGGUUACCAUCUGUUUCAGUGAAAAUCAGCCCAAAUCAGCUCGCUAUUACUGCAUGAUCACGGCUAUCAAAGUGAACGCGUCGAUAUGAAUGGAGAGAGUGGAUUAAUAACUUUAUGGCACAUUUGUGUUAUUACCAUCUGUAUAAGUGCCCAUCGGCACAUCAGCACUUAUUUGCAUCGUAAUUCAUUGUAAAUGCUGCAUUUCUAGCAAUCUCAGGAUUUUCUGUAACUGGCAAACAAAGUAAAAUCUUUUUUUAUUAUUUUUCUUGUUAUUCUCAUUUUUCUUACUCAAGUUAUUCUUAUUGUAUUUUUCUAGUGCUCAAAUAAAUCACUUAUAUGAUG